rnacentral:tRNA from 1 species
AGCCCUGUAGUCUAGCGGCCAAGGAUAGGGGACUCUGGAUCCUCUGGCCCAGGUUCGAAUCCUGGCAGGGCUA